rnacentral:rRNA from 1 species
AUUGAACGCUGGCGGCAGGCCUAACACAUGCAAGUCGAACGCGUGGCGGACGGGUGAGUAAUGUCUGGGAAACUGCCCGAUGGCGGGGGAUAACUACUGGAAACGGUAGCUAAUACCGCAUACCAUCGGAUGUGCCCAUAUGGGAUUAGCUAGUAGGUGGGGUAACGGCUCACCUAGGCGACGAUCCCUAGCUGGUCUGAAAGGAUGACCGGCAAAAAGGGAACUGAGAAACGGUCCAGACUACUACGGGAGGCAGCAGUGGGGAAUAUUGCACAAUGGGCGCAAGCCUGAUGCAGCAAUGCCGCGUGUAUGAAGAAGGCCUUCGGGUUGUAAAGGACUGUCAGCAGGGAAGCGUUACCCGAAGAAGAAGCACCGGCUAACUCCGUGCCAGCCGCCGCGGUAAUUC